GCAGCAGUGGGGAAUUUUGGACAAUGGGCGAAAGCCUGAUCCAGCAAUGCCGCGUGUGUGAUGAAGGCCUUAGGGUUGUAAAGCUCUUUCACCGGUGAAGAUAAUGACGGUAACCGGAGAAGAAGCCCCGGCUAACUUCGUGCCAGCAGCCGCGGUAAUACGAAGGGGGCUAGCGUUGUUCGGAAUUACUGGGCGUAAAGCGCACGUAGGCGGAUUUUUAAGUCAGGGGUGAAAUCCCGGGGCUCAACCCUGGAACUGCCUUUGAUACUGGAAAUCUUGAGUUCGGAAGAGGUGAGUGGAAUUCCGAGUGUAGAGGUGAAAUUCGUAGAUAUUCGGAGGAACACCAGUGGCGAAGGCGGCUCACUGGUCCGAUACUGACGCUGAGGUGCGAAAGCGUGGGGAGCAAACAGGAUUAGAUACCCCGGUAGUCCACGCCCUAAACCAUG
rnacentral:rRNA from 1 species